rnacentral:lncRNA from 1 species
UUUAUAAUAGUUAUUUAAAUACUAAGUAGAUUCUCAUAUUAAUGUACUUAAAAAUGAAAGAAAAUGAUUAUGUUUAUAAAUACAAUUAAAAUUGUUUCAAGAUAUUAAGUAUACCUGUUAUAAAUGGGACCAAAAAUUAUUUAAACAUACCUUAAAAUUGACUCCAAAACUUCUUAGAAGUUUAAGUAGAAUAAAUUUAUGAACUGAACUUGAAAUCUGAAGGAAGAUGUAGGCUUUUGAAUUUGAAAAUCUUAAAAUUGAUUAGUAAUUUAAAAGACAUUGAGCAUUUCCUGCCUUUUGCAAUCUAUUAGUGGAGAUUAUAAUGCAAUUACUAAAUUUAGGGAAGAUGAACUAGGAAAGGCCUAAGUGAUUAUUGAACACUAAUAAAAGAGGGACAGGAUUAACACAGGAAAUUCAGAACGUUAUUCAGUCCUAAUGUCUGAUCCAUUGUUUUCCCCUUAAAGCUUCACCCAGAUUUGGGAAAACAAUAUUUGGAGUUCUUCCAUACAAAAACAAGGUCACUAAGUUUUGAAAGCAAAUUAUAGAUUCAGUAGUACCAUUCUAUUGGAUUAUGUAUAACUGGUGACGCCCAAGAAAGUUAGACGGGCAUAAAGUAUGCACAAGACUCUUUUGGUUCCAAGGGACAAAGUAUGCAGUCCAACUGGCUUAAGCAUAGAAGAGAAUUUCCGGGCUUUAGAGGCUGGUGUGGCUGAGACCUGCAGGUAUGGCUAGAUCCGAGGGCCCACAUGAUGGUAUCAAGACCCAUCUCUCAGCUCUUGUCUCCUCUGGUUGACUUUACCCAUAGGUUGUGAAGAUAAUAUGGCUGCCAGAAGUCUGGAUGUUCAUCCUUCCAUGUUUAAAACCAGCGAAAAAUCACAUGCCUGUCUAAGGGGAGGCAGAAUUAUCCAAGCGCCACCUCAUUGCAUCAUGUGCUUGCUCUUCCCUCAGCUAAUGCCUGAGGCCAGGGGCCGGGCAGGAUCCACCUCCCCCUCAUUCCUGGGGCCAGGAGGAGAGUCAGGUGCCCACCUAAUCCUAACCUUGCCCAUAGCUGAGGAUUGUUCCAUUCUGGAAACACUGGUGGAACUCAUGGUGCCAGACACCAGGCCUAGUGCUAGAAGCACAAAGCUGGACAAGACAUGGUCCCUACUUUCAGAAGCUCAGAGUCGUGUAAAUCUUACCAUUUGUCUGCCAGAGAUUGAUGGGUACUUAACUGUUUACAACCGUGAUGAGAACAGAGAGUGGAAAAUACAUAUCAGUAAUUAUUAACCAAUGGCAAUUGCAGCAAAGAGAAGCUGAUUCUUACAAUUGGUGUGGGAUGUGUACUUUGAGUAAUGAGGCUAAUACUCAGAGAUGGCGUCCACAGAACACCAAGACACCUGGCCGAUUUGAUCAUUUGAAUCAAGAAAAUAUUCAGACUCAAUGAUUUUGAUGCUCUGUCAUGUAUAUUCACAUUUGUCAACUGAAAUAAAGUUCAACUUGAGAAAUAAAUCCUGAUUGCG